UUUAUUUUGUAAACAGAUUUAUUUGGUAAAACAAACAAUUCAGCUGUAUGUUUUUCACAGUGAGAGAAGUGUUAACGCUAGAAAGCUUAGAACAGUUUAUAAAAGUUUCAUAUGUGAAGUAUGUUGAAUAUAUUGCUAUUACUAAUACCCUUGCCACAUAUUACAUGCACAAUUUGUAUCGUAUUUAUUUAAUUAUAUACUUAUUCUAAUGCUUCCAUUUUGUAUUUGUUGCAUGUCCUUUGUCGUUCCAGGCAGAAUUCACGAUCAAACAAUCUAUACAAAGGACAUGUUAGUUCAGUCUGUGUUUUUAUAUGGUGGAUCCAGUAAUCUUUUCUAUUGUAGUGUUAUGGUUCUCUGCUGGGUCGUGUAACACACUCGAUUCAUGUGUAUUCGUGCAAAGAGACGAUAGCUUCAACAAUAAGAGCUUCUACCGGGUCACAAUACCCCUAAAAUGAAAGUAUAAAAAGUAUGUAAAAAAAGGGCUGCGAUUCCUUAACUUGCGGCUUGCAAAUUAAAGCCAACAUUCUGCACUUCAACCUCUUAGUCACAAUUUGAAAUACACAGUGCUGAAGUACAGAACCAAAACCUGUGUCACUGUCCAAAUACUUACGGACUGCACUGUGUAGACCGCACUGAUGCUUAAGUGAGGACCGAGGUGAUUCCACUGAACGUCAUGGGUGGAUCCUAGAUAGUUAGCCAGGGUCAGGUUUAAAUUGUUAGCCAGGGUCAGGUUUAAAUUGUUAGCCAGGGUCAGGUUUAAAUUUUUAGCCAGGGUCAGGUUUAAAAUGUUAGCCAGGGUCAGGUUUAGAUUGUUAGCCAGGUUCGGGGUUAGUGGGGGAUAUCUGCUUCACCAGGGGUCCAUCUUUGAGGGGAUUUCUUCGUCAGGUCAGAGAUCGCCAGGGAAUCAGGUGUGGUUUAUUUCAAUGUCCAGUAUUAGCUAUGAAGAAAAUUAACUGGCAUAAUCUUUGUCUGUAGACGUGGCCCUACAUACUCCAACCCCUCUGUCAAGGGGACCCAAUUAUUUAAGUAAGAUGGAAGGGCACUCUCCUGCCUUUACUGCAAUUUGUGUUUCUUACAGAACUCCUGCUCCAGUUCCAUGAAGCUGUCAUGGACAUCUUUGUUCCAAGGAGCACUUCUUGUUUUGAUAAGUUUCUAAGAAGUGUGAUGCCUCCCCUUUACGGCUCCUACCUAAGAUUAUCUGAGCAAGAAGACUCUCAUUCAGCAUCCUCAAGAUGCAAGGGAAAGCACUGGCUGACAACACUCUUCUUUGGCUUCAUCUUCUAAUGUUAGCAUGAUUGGAGGACCUUCACGACUUCCGUCAAUGGAACGGCAUCUUCUUUGUUACAAUUUUUCUGUUUGAUUGACCUGUGUGCAUUAGAAGUUACGUACCCUCUCCACGAAGAGGUCAUUAGUUUCACAAAUUUGUUUGCCUCUGCAUGAGUCUCUACGUCCCCAUUUAUUACACUUCUGCUAGCUAAACACUCUGCUGCUUUGGUAAGUGAGUGUCCUAUCCUAAUAACCAAACUUGUUUUUGUGUAGUCAAUUACAUCCGGAUUGAACCUGCUGACCUUCUUUGCUGCUUCAAGAACCAGUUCGAACCGGCUCGGUUUACAGACGUCCUGUAGGUGCUUUACACUGUUAUCAAGCUCUUUGAGCACCAGCAUGAGUCUACCCACUUCCCGCAGUCUUUUGCAGAUGUAGCCAUGCUGGGACAACUCAUGACCGCGCUCUGCAUACAAACAGUCCCCUAACUGACAAAUUAACAGGUCGUUUCGUAUGUGAAAAGCCACUGAAUCUUGUUGCAUUUUGUGGAUGAUCUUUUGGCAGCCUUCCGAAGCACUUUUAGAGAUUGGGAUCAGAUGGGAUGCUAUAGAUUGGACCCUCUUCCUUGACCCCUUUUCUCCUUCCUUUUUUGGCCUACAUGAUGACUCGUGUCUCCAUAACUUGCUUUUUACAAAAAAACCAAGACAGUGAGAACAGGGCAGGUAGUCCUCAAUGGAAGCACUUCCUGGGGGUUGUCUCCAUGUAACGAUCUCUCCCUUACCCUCUUCAAGCACUAAGAUGUUGUGUUGAUAGUCACCUUUUUUUCUCAGCUCUUCAAGCAAGGCUGACCUUUUCUUAGAGCCUUUCGGGAAGCUACAAGCCCGGGCUACGUCCUCCUCAUCUCCAUGCUUUCUUUCUAAGUGCCUGGAUAUUUUAGAAUUGGGUUUCAUGCAGUAUAUACAGAAAUGCUUUUUGUCAUAGAGCCUUUUCCCAUCCUUGGUCUUACUGCAGGUUUUGAUUGUUAAUGUAGACAUGCUUUUUUCCUGUUCAAUAGGGUCAAUUUUAGACUUUGGGGACAGGGUAGAGGGCGUGCAGGGUGUCUCACUGUCUGUUGAAUCAGAAUUUUCCUCUGCUGGGAUGAAGUGGGGAUAAUUCAUUUGAUCAUCUGACAACACGUCAAAAUCCUCAUCUGACGUCAAGCUCAUUUGGUCAGAAAACGUGUAAUUAGGGACUCUCUGGGAGCGGGGACGGGUGGCCCUGGUCUUGGUCGAACUGGAGAGCCGGGACUUCUUGGUAGCAACUGUGGCAUCAAAAGUGAAGUCUAACAGAUGAC
ensembl:lncRNA